UUAAAUUAUUAUAUUGAUCUGUUAUAGUCAUGAUUAUUCAAUACUACUAUAAUUAAAUUAUUAUAUUGAUCUGUUAUAUUCAUGAUUAUUCAAUACUACCAUAAUUAAAUUAUUAUAUAGAUCUGUUAUAGUCAUGAUUAUUCAAUACUACCAUAAUUAUAUUAUUCUAUUGAUAUUGUUGGACUGUACAGUACAGUGAGAGACUAUUGUUUGUGGAUACUGUACUUUAUAAAGACGAAGCUGAGAACACUGCUGCUACCUGACGGUGACUGUAACAUUAGGUCUGUACGGUGCCCAUAUUAGGACACUGUCAGUCUCAGCAGGCGUUAUUAGGUCCUGGUAAGACUGAGGAUGUCCUAAUACAGACACCAUAGGUGUGUUAUUUAAUGAUGGUCUGCAUUCCAAAUGGCACCUUGUUCCCUUUGUAGCUGUACUAUUGUUGACCAAGGCCUAUGGUGUUGACCAGGGAUUAUGGUGUUGACCAGGAAUUAUGGUGUUGACCAGGGCCUAUGGUGUUGACCAGGGAUUAUGGUGUAGACCAGGGCCUAUGGUGUUGACCAGGGCCUAUGGUGUUGACCAGGGAUUAUGGUGUUGAACAGGGCCCUAUGGUGUUGACCAGGAUUUAUGGUGUUGACCAGGUCUUAUGGCUGCUGGUGUUGACCAGGUCUUAUGGCUGCUGGUAUUGACCAGGUCUUAUGGCUGCUGGUGUUGACUAGGUCUUAUGGCUGCUGGUGUUGACCAGGUCUUAUGGCUGCUGGUAUUGACCAGGUCUUGUGGCUGCUGGUGUUGACCAGGUCCUAUGGCUGCUGGUAUUGACCAGGUCUUAUGGCUGCUGGUAUUGACCAGGUCCUAUGGCUGCUGGUGUUGACCAGGUCCUAUGGCUGCUGGUGAACAUAGUGCACUAUAGGGGGAACAAGCUGCCAUUUGGAACACAGCCUGGUCUUCCUCUUGAAGACCUUUCUAGCUGUGUUGAUUCGUUCUGUUGUUUGUGCACAGAAAGGGAAUUAAAUACAACAAGGGCACGUUUUUGUUAUUUUUCAACACAAUAUAUUUUGCACUGAGACACAAAAAUGUUAUAAUAGAUGCGUGUAUAAAGCCUCACCGGUGCCACAUUGUCCAAAUGUGUAAAAUAUUGUUGUACUGUGGAAUGUUAAUAGUCUUUUGGAUUGCAAUGUAUCGCCUUUACACACAGUCUGCUGGUUGUCAACACUACAGGCCAUAAAGCCUAAAGAGGGGCAGCUGACUGCCAUAGAAUUACAGGCCAUAAAGCCUAAAGAGGGGAAGCUGACUGCCAUAGAUCUGUAGUAAGGCCAUAGAGGGGAAGCUGACUGACAUAGAUCUGUAGUAAGUUCAUAGAGGGGAAGCUGCCUGCCAUAGAAUUACAGGCCAUAAAGCCUAAAGAGGGGAAGCUGACUGACAUAGAUCUGUGGUAAGGCCAUAGAAGUGAAGCUGACUGACAUAGAUCUGUGGUAAGGCCAUAGAGGGGAAGCUGCCUGACAUAGAUCUGUAGUAAGGCCAUAGAGUAGAGGGGAAGCUGCUUGCCAUAGAUCUGUAGUAAGGCCAUAGAGGGGAAGCUGACUGCCAUAGAUCUGUAGUAAGGCCAUAGAGGGGAAGCUGCCUGACAUAGAUCUGUAGUAAGGCCAUAGAGGGGAAGCUGCCUGCCAUAGAUCUGUGGUAAGGCCAUAGAUGGGCGGCUGAUUGUAUAAAACUACAGUACGGCCAUAGAGCUAUAGGCCACAUACAGAGAACAGACAGUACAGGCCAUAAUAUACAGAAGAGCAAUUGAUUGUUUGUUGCUACGUGAAUGCCGUAGAGGUAUGGUAUGGCCGUAUAAAGGGGCAGAUGAAUGCUUGUAGCUACGUGAAUGCCGUAGAGCUAUGGUAUGGCCGUAUAAAGGAGCAGCUGAAUGCUUGUAGCUACGUGAAUGCCGUAGAGCUAUGGUAUGGCCGUAUAAAGGAGCAGCUGAAUGCUUGUAAAUGUAGCUACAGUAUAGCCAUGAAUAUUGCUACAGUUAGAGUUUAGGCCAUAGAGUUACAGUAAUGCUAGAUAUGUUCUGUCCAUUAGAGGCCAAAAGGUUUACUCCAGAGAUAGAGUAUUGACCAUACUUACAGAGAGAGGCAGCUGAAAGCUACAGAAGGCCAAAAGGUUUACUCCAGAGAUAGAGUAUUGACCAUACUUACAGAGAGAGGCAGCUGAAAGCUACAGAAGGCCAAAAGGUUUACUCCAGAGAUAGAGUAUUGACCAUACUUACAGACAGAGGCAGCUGAAAGCUACAGAAGGUCAAAAGGUUUACUCCAGAGACAUCACAAUAAGACCUCAAACCUCCUGUUGUUACAGUCAGGACCUGUUCUACACUGGAACAGAGAAUUCACUAUAAAUAAAUGUUUCUUUUUUUUCUGUACUCAAUGACGUGUUUAUUUGUUUCUGUGUCUCUUAAUGUGGAAUGAGUGGUGAAGUGGAAAACCAGACAUUAUGUUUCAGUAGCUGGUAUAAUGGAAGUCAGCAGUCACCAGUCAUCAACACAGAAGAGAAGAGGCAAGGGGGGGAGAGGAGGUUGAGAGGAUGAGAAGAGAGGGGGAAGAGAGGAGGAGAGGAGGUUGAGAGGAGGUUGAGAGGAGAGGAGAGAGGGGUAGCAGAGGAGAGGGGAAGAGAAGAGGA
rnacentral:lncRNA from 1 species